rnacentral:rRNA from 1 species
CGGGUGAGUAACACGUGGAUAACCUACCUAUAAGACUGGGAUAACUUCGGGAAACCGGAGCUAAUACCGGAUAAUAUUUUGAACCGCAUGGUUCAAAAGUGAAAGACGGUCUUGCUGUCACUUGUAGAUGGAUCCGCGCUGCAUUAGCUAGUUGGUAAGGUAACGGCUUACCAAGGCAACGAUGCAUAGCCGACCUGAGAGGGUGAUCGGCCACACUGGAACUGAGACACGGUCCAGACUCCUACGGGAGGCAGCAGCG